rnacentral:rRNA from 1 species
GCAGCAGGCGCGAAACCUCCGCAAUGUGAGAAAUCGCGACGGGGGGAUCCCAAGUGCCAUUCUUAACGGGAUGGCUUUUCAUUAGUGUAAAGAGCUUUUGGAAUAAGAGCUGGGCAAGACCGGUGCCAGCCGCCGCGGUAACACCGGCAGCUCUAGUGGUAGCAGUUAUUAUUGGGCCUAAAGCGUCCGUAGCCGGUUUAAUAAGUCUCUGGUGAAAUCCUGUAGCUUAACUAUGGGAAUUGCUGGAGAUACUAUUAGACUUGAGAUCGGGAGAGGUUAGAGGUACUCCCAGGGUAGAGGUGAAAUUCUGUAAUCCUGGGAGGACCGCCUGUUGCGAAGGCGUCUAACUGGAACGAUUCUGACGGUGAGGGACGAAAGUUAGGGGCGCGAACCGGAUUAGAUACCCGGGUAGUCCUAACUGUAAACGAUGCGGACUUGGUGUUGGGAUGGCUUUGAGCUGUCUCAGUGCCGAAGGGAAGCUGUUAAGUCCGCCGCCUGGGAAGUACGGUCGCAAGACUGAAACUCAAAGGAAUUGACGG